rnacentral:rRNA from 1 species
AAUCAACGCUGGCGGCGUGCCUCAGACAUGCAAGUCGAACGAUUAAAGCUCUCUUCGGAGAGUGUAUAGAGUGGCGCACGGGUGAGUAACACGUAAGUAAUCUACCCUCGAGUGGGGAAUAACGUCCGGAAACGGACGCUAAUACCGCAUAAUGCAGCGGCACCGCAAGGUGACAGUUGUUAAAGGAGAAAUUCGCUUGAGGAGGAGCUUGCGGCAGAUUAGCUUGUUGGUAAGGUAACGGCUUACCAAGGCUACGAUCUGUAACCGGUCUUAGAGGACGGUCGGUCACACUGACACUGAAUAACGGGUCAGACUCCUACGGGAGCAGCAGUCGGGAAUUUUGGGCAAUGGGCGAAAGCCUGACCCAGCAAACGCCGCGUGAAGGAUGAAGUAUUUCGGUAUGUAAACUUCGAAAGAAUAGGAAGAAUAAAUGACGGUACUAUUUAUAAGGUCCGGCUAACUACGUGCCAGC